rnacentral:rRNA from 1 species
AUUGAACGCUGGCGGCAGGCCUAACACAUGCAAGUCGAGCGGCAGCGGGAAAGUAGCUUGCUACUUUUGCCGGCGAGCGGCGGACGGGUGAGUAAUGCCUGGGAAAUUGCCCAGUCGAGGGGGAUAACAGUUGGAAACGACUGCUAAUACCGCAUACGCCCUACAGGGGAAAGCAGGGGACCUUCGGGCCUUGCGCGAUUGGAUAUGCCCAGGUGGGAUUAGCUAGUUGGUGAGGUAAUGGCUCACCAAGGCGACGAUCCCUAGCUGGUCUGGGAGGAUGAUCAGCCACACUGGAACUGAGACACGGUCCAGACUCCUACGGGAGGCAGCAGUGGGGAAUAUUGCACAAUGGGGGAAACCCUGAUGCAGCCAUGCCGCGUGUGUGAAGAAGGCCUUCGGGUUGUAAAGCACUUUCAGCGAGGAGGAAAGGUUGAUGCCUAAUACGUGUCAACUGUGACGUUACUCGCAGAAGAAGCACCGGCUAACUCCGUGCCAGCAGCCGCCGUAACAC